rnacentral:misc_RNA from 1 species
AUAUACAACCCUAAACAAAGAACAAAAGAAAUUUGAGGUUAUGCAUUACAUGCUAUGCUUAGUUGACUGGUUGUGCCUAUUUUCUGUCACAUGCCUGGUUCAUCAAGUAUACAUAAUAAUAUAAAUUAAAAUGACUACAUAUUUCACAAUUUAGACUAUAUAUUUUGGAUUGACGCUCCACAAUUUAUCUGGUUUUAGUUCCU